AAUCUCUUGAACAGGAGACAUGUUAACGCACACAAUGAGCCACAUGGCUCCCUAUGGACUAAGCAGCAGGGAAAGCUGAUCUACCAGGAGUGCAGGGAAAGAAGGAAGCAUAUGUCUCAGAAGAAGAUCACUGGCCUCUUCAAAGAAAAACGUCUGCAUGGUUGUGUUCACGUGUGGGUGCUGUGGGUAAAGAGGCUGAAUGCCACAAUGAGGGAAUUCAGUUGAAAAGUCACAGGGACAUACCUAGAUGCAAGGAGGGAAGAAUAAGGAGGGCAGAAGGAGAGAGAGAAUCCCAAGCAGACUUGGUGCUGAGCAUGGAGCUGGACAUGGGACUUGAAGUCACAAUGCUGAGAUCAUAACCUGAGCCUAAAUCAAGAGUCGGACUCUUAACCAACUGAGUCAACCAGACACACCUGCUGAAUGAAUGGAAACAUUAAGAAAAAACAAGCUGGGGGCACCUGGGUGGCUCAGUCGUUAAGCGUCUGCCUUCAGCUCAGGUCAUGAUCCCAGGGUCCUGGGAUCGAGCCCUGCAUCGGGCUCCCUGCUCCGCGGAGAGCCUGCUUCUCCCUCUCCCACACCCCCUGCUUGUGUUCCCUCUCUCUCGCUGUGUCUGUCAAAUAAAUAAAAAUUUAAAAAUCUUAA